GGGAGGUCUCUCCACAAGUCGCAGCGUGCCGGGGAAGAACCUUGAUGCUGAAGGAGCCUAAGGGGGAGAGAAGGAGGAAGUACCAUUUGUAAGCCACCCUUCUAUAGCAGCAGUGGAUUCAGGGAGGAAGGAUGGUGCCAGGGAGAGCAAGGAGCCAAAGGAACACUUCUUUUAUGCACCCUGCGUUGCUCUGGGAACAACCUGAGGGCAAGAGCUGUGUGUCCUCCUUUGACUUUGGAUUCCCAAAGAAGGGACGAUGUCUCUUCUAUUAAACUGGGAGUUUCCUGAAAGUGCAGCCAAGUCUCCUACUUUUGUCACUUCUUUCAGUUGCCAAGAAAAAAAUCACAACUGCUAAUUAACAUACCUGAGA